rnacentral:rRNA from 1 species
AGCCAGACUCCUACGGGAGGCAGCAGUGGGGAAUAUUGCACAAUGGGGGAAACCCUGAUGCAGCGACGCCGCGUGAGCGAUGAAGUAUUUCGGUAUGUAAAGCUCUCUCAGCAGGGAAGAAGAUGACGGUACCUGACUAAGAAGCCCCGGCUAACUACGUGCCAGCAGCCGCGGUAAUACGUAGGGGGCAAGCGUUAUCCGGAUUUACUGGGUGUAAAGGGAGCGUAGACAGCGAUGCAAGCCAGAUGUGAAAGCCCGGGGCUCAACCCCGGGACUGCAUUUGGAACUGUGUGGCUGGAGUGUCGGAGAGGCAGGCGGAAUUCCUAGUGUAGCGGUGAAAUGCGUAGAUAUUAGGAGGAACACCAGUGGCGAAGGCGGCCUGCUGGACCGUGACUGACGUUGAGGCUCGAGAGCGUGGGGAGCAAACAGGAUUAGAUACCCCGGUAUC